GACGAACGCUGGCGGCGUGCCUAAUACAUGCAAGUCGAGCGGACUUUCAAGAAGCUUGCUUUUUGAAAGUUAGCGGCGGACGGGUGAGUAACACGUGGGCAACCUGCCUGCAAGACGGGGAUAACUCCGGGAAACCGGGGCUAAUACCGGAUAAUAUCUUCCUUCGCAUGAAGGAAGGUUGAAAGGCGGCGCAAGCUGCCGCUUGCAGAUGGGCCCGCGGCGCAUUAGCUAGUUGGUGAGGUAACGGCUCACCAAGGCGACGAUGCGUAGCCGACCUGAGAGGGUGAUCGGCCACACUGGGACUGAGACACGGUCCAGACUCCUACGGGAGGCAGCAGUAGGGAAUCUUCCGCAAUGGACGAAAGUCUGACGGAGCAACGCCGCGUGAGCGAAGAAGGUCUUCGGAUCGUAAAGCUCUGUUGUCAGGGAAGAACAAGUACCGUUCGAACAGGGCGGUACCUUGACGGUACCUGACCAGAAAGCCACGGCUAACUACGUG
rnacentral:rRNA from 1 species